AAUCAAAUAGGAAAUGGAUCAACAAAUCCUACAAAAAAUCAUGGUUAAACCUAACAUACAGAUGGAAUCACAUGCAAAAAUUCAGGGCAAAUGGAAUUCAAUAAGCAUGGAAACAAAAUUCAAGAAGUGGACAUAACAUAGUGUAAUUCAGGGCAAAUGGAAUUCAAUAAGCAUGGAAACAAAAUUCAAGAAGUGGACAUAACAUAGUGUGACACACAUUGUCACACUCAACUUGAUCACAUCAUAUCUAUCAAUCCAGAAACUCAAAAUUAUCAAACUAUACAUCAAAAUCACCAGGAAAGAGUCAAGAA
rnacentral:lncRNA from 1 species